GGGCCUACGGGAGGCAGCAGUGGGGAAUAUUGCGCAAUGGGGGAAACCCUGACGCAGCGACGCCGUGUGAGGGAAGAAGGCUCUCGGGUCGUAAACCUCUGUCGGGAAGGAAGAACCUCUCAAGGCUGAACAAGCCUGGGAGCAGACGU
rnacentral:rRNA from 1 species